rnacentral:piRNA from 1 species
GCCUCAGAGAAUAUUUAACCACCUGUUA